ensembl:lncRNA
UCAGCAUCAUGUAGGAACUUGAUAAAACUGCACAUCCUCCUACCACCAAGGCUAUUUUGUUUUUGUUUUGUUGUUUGUUUCUUUCUUUUGGUGGCACUGGGAAAGGAACCCAGGACCUCACAUUUGCUAGGUCAGAACUGUACCACUGAGCUACACCUCUAGGUCUACUUGGUUUUGCCGUAUGAAAAGCUCUGAAGGGGGCCAGGGAUCUACCUCAGUGGUUCUGCUGCUUACCUCACAAGCAGAAGGUCCUGAGUUCCACUGCCAGUACCAAAACAAACAAACAAACAACAACAACAAACUCCGAAGGUGGUUCCCACCAAUCUGCAAUGUUUCGAAGGCACCUCAAGUGAUUCUGACUUUGAGAACUUGACUAAGCUCCCCCCUGCCCGCUCUGAGGAGCUUGUGAUUCCCAUGGCAGUACUGUUCUUACAUACACACCUACAUACAUACAUACCUGUGUGCCCCUAGGUAAACUGCGGGAAAACCAGGGAUUUACAUCCCACCCUAAGCCUCUCCUCUCACUCUAUACCAUGUCCAACAACAUCUCUAGCCUGCACCCAAGACACCCAAAACUCAAGGUCAUGAAAAAAACCCGGAUUCUCCAGGGCCGGGGAUUUAGCUCAGUGGCUCCAGCGCUUGCCUUGCAAGCUCAAGGCCCCGAGUUCGAUUGCCGGUACCAAAUACAAACCAACCAACCAACCAACCAACCAACCAACAAAACACCCCAGGACUCUCUACUUCCCUCAAGCUGGCUCUCCUCCAAUGGGCUUUAUGAUCACGAUUCUGAAGGACAUUCUCUGUAGUUAUACACACGGACCCCAGGGAGAGAUACCACGGCAGGACCUUGAGUCAGAUUUCAGGGAGCAAGGAUGAAACAAAACCAACUCGGGCCAGGGAAUUAGCUCAGGGGUGCAGCUGCCUCCCUCGCAAGCACAAGGUCCUCAGUUCAAUCCCCGGUACUGGAGGGAAAGAAAAACAUGUGAGGCCAACAAAAUGAAUUCCAAGACCUUGCCUGUUUUAGGAGGAGGAUCAGCUGGUUAAAGAAAGGAUUCAAGCUUUCGAUUCGGGAGGCUACAGAUUGAACAAAGUAAAUUUAAAUGAAGCAGAAAGAUAAAUAGUAACGACAGAAAUUCCUGAUGUAAAAGGAUAAAAAUCAGCAGCACUCACCAAGAACUCCCAAAGCUGGUUCUUCCAAAAGAUUAAAAUAAGCGAUCACUGAGCACGUCUGGCCAAUAAACACUAGUGUUGAAAAGGGUAACAUCACAGAUAUACGAGUUUCUUUUCCUCCAACGAACUAUACAGAGCAUUGUGCUACCCUAGGUUAAAAUUCAAUAGUAUUGAAAUUCAAGGACAUUAAUGGCUUUCUAGGACAACGAAAAGUACCAGACUGACUUUGAAGAGAUAGAAAAUCUGAAAAUCAUCAAUGGCCAUGGAAAAAAGCUACACGGCAGUUAACUUUCCAAAAACAGCAGCAGGGCAGGGGGUGCAACUCAGUGGGAGAAAACUUGCCUAACUUGGCCUAGGCUCUGGACUCAAUCCUCAGCACUGCAAGACACAAACGAGACAAAACACCAGCAGUCUGCAGUCAGGUGCUGCCAAACUUCCAGAAACAGAUUAUUCUUCUGUUCCAGAGCACAGAAAAUGAUGACAAGUUUCCCGAUUUAAUCACCAAGGAGAGCAUAAUUCUGAUUAGGAGCUCACAAACAAUACGGGAGGAAAAAGAACUAUACAAUCUCACUUAUAAAUAUGG